UACGGAGGGUGCAAGCGUUGUUCGGAAUUAUUGGGCGUAAAGGGCGUGUAGGUGGCUUACCAAGUCUGGUGUGAAAUCCCACGGCUCAACCGUGGAACUGCAUUGGAAACUGGUUAGCUCGAGGGUUGGAGGGGGUCGCGGAAUUCCCGGUGUAGAGGUGAAAUGCGCAGAUAUCAGGAGGAACACCGGUGGCGAAGACGGUUCUCUGGGAAUGUCCUGACGCUGAGGAGCGAAAGUGUGGGGAGCGAACAGG
rnacentral:rRNA from 1 species